rnacentral:lncRNA from 1 species
CACGUAUUAAAAAAGUGACAGAAUAAAAAGUGACAAACACUCGAAAGUGACAAAUUCAAAAAAGUGACAAAAUUGAAAAAAAGUUAUACAAAUUCAAAAAAAUGGUGACAAAAAAAAAGUGACAGAAAUUAAAAAGGAAAAAAAAAGGAAGAAAGAAAAAUAGUGACAAAACACUCUGUCAACCACCCAUACAACGUCAUCUCUACCUACAUCUUCACCAACUUUUAACCCAACCAAUCAGCCACCUCAAGUCCAACCACCACAAGCACCGCCAUAGCUUAACACAGUGCAAUUCCUCUCCUCUCCUCCUCCUCCUCCUCUCUCUCUCUCUAGCUUAAUAGAAUGGGUAAUGGCUGGUCUGAAUCAAUUGAGCCUGAAGCUUCAUCAAGAAAAACCCAGUUGGAAAAUGAACCCAUUUCUAAUCCCAAAAAAUCCAAUCUCAAAUUAUGGCAGGCCCAAAUCAAUUGAGCCUGGAGCUUCAUCAAGAAGAACCCAACUGGAAAAUGAACCCACUUCAAAUCCCAAAAAAUCCAAGCUCAAAUUCUAGUUAAUCAUUGCGGCCACUCUCAAAGUCGCCUUUGAGUUUCUGCUGCACUUGUAAUGGGGCUCCAGCCAAAAAAAAUUUCGGGCCAAUGCACUCAAGCCAAGCCAUAUCCAAGACCUACAGCCGGACUCGCUAUCACGCUCCGUGUCAACUCACUCAUGAACUUUCCCGUCUUCAAUAGAUUACUACUCAACCAAUCGGCCAUCUCAAGUCCCACCACACGACCUCCGCCAAAUCCAGUAGCAAGUCCAUCCCAACCACCAGCAUUGUCAUCUCCACCACCGGCACUUCCAUCGGCUGUACCUCCACCACCAGUGCUUUCAUUGCCAACACUUCCACUGGUUGGGAGUUUUUUGGAAUCGAGGGUUUUGAGUUGGGGCCGUGGGGGUUUUGAGCGUAUUUAAUACGUGAUUAAAUGUUUCAAUUAGUUUUAAGAGUACUUUUCAAAAUUCUCAUUUUUUGGGGGUAUUGGACCUAAUUUUCCCAAAUUAAAACCAUUUCCUAUAAAUUUGUUUUAUUUUUUGUAGGAUCUGGACUUGGAGGGUUGUAAUAGCCUAGUGCAACCCACUGCCAAAUCCGCCCAUGUCAACCACUCUGAAGGACUUUGAAUAUGGUUGUGAACAGAUUUAGAAACAAAUUAAAAAAAAAAUUAUUAAAGGGAACAGCCCGCUUUUUCAAUAUUUUGUGUGACAUGAUAUUUUGAAAACACAAUUGAGUUUUUGUUAUUAAUGUAGUUUAGCGCGAGUGCAUAGAUCACGAAAGAGCUCAUGAAGGGCUAUAUUUCAAUUCUGCAAAUAUUUUGAGAGGAGUUUCUUUUCCUACUGUUUGGCAUAAGAACAGGUUUUAUUGUUGCUACUUGCUAAGCAACUUUUUCUAUGUAUAGUUUAUCAUUUUUGUAGCUGGAAAGGAUAAAAAUAGGAAAAUGGUGAUCGUAGGUAUUGAAUGAGGGAGAAAGACCUUGAACUAAUGAAAUUUUACCUAAAAAAAUUGUUUUAGCUCCUGCUUAUCUUAAUUCUUUUUUUCUAAGUCUUUGUUUGUCAACCAUUCUACCACAUUAUUUUUCAAUUCUCAUUUUCAACUAUACAUUCUUCAUUAAAAUAAUAUUCCACAUAAAUUAAAAAAAAAAAUUCUUCUUUUUUAACCAUAUGUUUCAACAUCAAUCAACAUUCUGUAAUACACUUUUUGAAAUUAAAUGGGUACAAACAGGCUCUAAAUGUGGUUCUGUAUAUUUGAAGGAGAUCCCCUGAUCCUUAGAAUUUCGAUAACUUUUUCUCCUUGUAGUAGAACACCAAAUGAAAUAAAACAUUAACAUCAAAAUUUAUGUAUAGCCACUGUAAUCCAUGAAGUUGUCUGGGAGUCAGAUGAUGAAGAAGAUGCUGAGUAUGCAAUGCAGAAUCAGAUUAAAGGAGAGGAAAACAUGAGUAUAAGAUGUUGAAUAGCUUCAUUCUUUCUUUACGUUUUUUGAUUCCAUGGCUAAAUUUUGUCUGUGCACAAGCUACAUUUAUGUAUUUACUCCUAAUAUAGCGCUUUCUUGUGGACAUGGAGAGAGAUUAUGAGGAGGAGCUGAGGCCUAAGGAUAUCUUAGAUGAUGAAGAGAUGCUAGACGAGCCUGAAGAAGAAUAUGCUGAUGCUACACCUAAGGAAGUGGAAGCUGUUCCGCCACUGGUGUUGGAGAUGUCCAUGAGCCGUGGAAGGUUUGUCUCUUUGCUUAUUUGAUGGAGCUAUUACACCUCAGCCCAUGUUUCAGUUUUCUCUUAAAUCUUUGUUAGAAAAUUAAAGACUUGUGUUUCUAUUACCACAUAGAAGACCAUGUUUAUAGGGCUAUAAAUAACUAUAAAAGAAAAGAUUGUGUGAUAAUAAGACAAUCAAACUAUUAAGGAAAAUAAUCUCACACAAUUGAGAAAAAAUCAUAGAGAUUAUUCUUUACAUUCUUUUCAUAUUUUCAACACCCUCCCUCAAACUCAAUAUAGUGUAGUGACAAUCAAAUUGAGUUUGAAAAUUAAAUUGAUCUAAAUCAAAUAUUUCUCUUCCAAGGAUCAAAUGAUACUUUAAAAUUGAUUGUAUGCCAACCAAUCCAAACAAAGAACUCAAAGUUGAUAAGGAUGAAAAGUCAUCAUCCACCAAGAUAACCAAACCAUCACCAAGACUUGAAGGAGAAACUCAUAAGUAUAACGAACAAUGUCAAAACAAGAACCUCAAAUGAUUUUAAUAACCAGAUAAGCAAAGAUAGGCCAUGUUUAAUAGUAGCACUCCAAAAAUCCAUGGGUAGUACAGCACUACACUUAUAGAUGGAGGAAAUACAGAUUAAACAGGAACUCUGGCACACAAGGAUGCUAAAACAAUUGAUGUGAUGGGAAUAAAUUCAAUGAAAACAUAACAUGAUAAUUCUCAGUUUUCUUGAAACCCAACUUUCCAAGAUAAAAAGAAUAAGAAUAGCCAACAUCUAAUUGGGAGGUGAAUUAAUCUGAACUCCAAAUUUAGAUUAGAUCAAGAACAAGAAAUAUGGACAAAAUUUGAGUAGACAUGGAUAUUUAAUCAAAAUAAGAAAACUUGACUGGAUGAGCAACACAAGGCUGCUCGCCGAAGAACAAAAGCUUACAAAUUUAAUCCAAAAUGAAGUUAAACCCUCUCUGAUACUAUGUUAGAUUAUUAUAAAUUGUAUAUUAUAAACUUGUGUUUCUAUUACAACAUAGAAGAUCAUAUUUAUAGGGCUGUAAAUAAAUCUAAAAGAAAAGAUUGUAUGAUAAUCACAUAAUCAACUAUUAACGAAAAUAAUCUCACACAACUAGGAAAUUAUCAUAGGGAUUACUCCUUACAAUCUUUUCAUAUCUUCAACAAUCUUAAUUUAUAAUUACAUGCUAAUACAUCGGAAAAAGAACUCUUCUGAUUUAAUUCUUUAUGCUAAUUUAUAACGCAUGUAGUUAUAAAUUAACACAUAGUCACUAAAAAGAGGGGAGAGAAAGGUGAGCAAAAUUCUUAAUAGAUUAUAUGAUUGAGACUAUAUGGAUUUAACUAUAAAGUUCCAAAAUUACGCCUUCAAGCUAAAAUCUGCUCAGGAUGUGAACCUGAUUCAGGGUUUGAACUUCUCAAACUUUCAGGAUACUUUUGCAAGACUUCGCCGUGUAAUAAUCAGAACCUCCAUAAUUUGGUAAUAUCUUCACUGUUGAAUGCCUGAAUACUUACUUUCUAUUGUCCUUUCUUCAUUUGUACUUGGUUGUCAAUAAGGGAGAGUUGUGCAAUCAUUAAAUAUUUUUUAACAUUAACAUAGACUGUACUUAGUUUUGUUUAGGUAAACGUUUAGAACAUAGAAAUAGACCAUGAACUUCGAUGAUAACAAAAAUGUGAAGUUGUGUGAUUAGCCCAACUGGAAUAUUUAAUUAAAUAAGCCUAAGGCCUGGCUACUUGCACCACUAGCUUUCUUGUAGUAGUAGUACUUUCCAUUUACUCAUUUCUCUCUUCGGCUUAUCAUUUAAUUCAUAGUUAUCAAUUGUAAUAAUGAGUUGCCCUAUUGGUAAAUAGCAUUACAAACGCAUAAAAAUCUAUACUCAAGACUCAACUCAAAUGAAGCUCCAAUCACGUAAAAUAAAGAACAAACAGUAGCUUGCAAUUUUAUAAGAUGUUCUUUCUUCUCUAACUUUUCCGUGUCAUCAACUUAAGAAUAUAUCACUUUUGGGGGGUUUUAAGUAAGUCUAGAGGUUAGCUGUUAGAAAUUUUCGAGUUGACAUUUUACAUUUCAAGUUUAUAGGAUAUUAGUAGUGAAUUGGUUCAAUCCAGCUUUAGCAAGAAUCAAAUGGAUUGAGUCAAAACUUGGUUUCGUAAUUGGUUCUAGGUUCAUGUAGUACGAUCUUUUUUAAAUUUGAAAAAAUGGACCAAAAUAAAGCAAGCAUGAGCAGUUUGAAUUGGACUAAACUUAAAUAUGAUGAGUUCUAGUUACCUCGUGGAUUGACAUCCCAUUUGAUCAGUUUAGUUGGAAAGAAGGUGGAAGGGGAAGGUAACGACGACUAAAAUAUGAUAGCAUGUUUGGUAAGUUGGUUAUGACAAUAUUAAAGAAGAAAAGUUACAGUCUUAUUUCUUAUUAUCAUCCGAUCCUACCUAAUAAUACAUGUCUAAAUAACAUGAAAGCGCCACACAUUUAGUUUCUGUUCUUUUCGAUUUUCAUUCACUCCUUUACCUGAUAAUUCUUCUGUUUUUUGAAAUCCCUCUUUAAUACUUAUAUAUUCAAAUCAAGAAAAUUGAGUUAAUUACUCAAGGAAAAAGUGUCUUCAUAUACUUUUUAUAUUAGAAUUGAUAUAAAAUUGGAAUCAAAGGAUCUUUAGAGAUCUUUUUGUUUGCAAAUUAUCCAUUAAUAAAUAUUACCGGAAGAAAAAACUAGAAAUAAUAUGGUAGUCUAAUAAAUGAGUAACAUAUCUAGUGAGAUUGUAUUCGUUGUAAUUUACCUCAAUCAAAAUUGAUAUAUAAUGUUUGCUGAAUUCAGAACAAUAGUGAUUCACAAGAGACAUCAACCACAUACCAAGUAGAUCCAAUACAGUACACUGGUUAAGAAAUGGUGGCUCUUGCAAUUGACUCGUCAACUCUUUUGAAUGCUUGAAAUAAGGGAAAAUGAGUUAAACAUUUCUUUGUAAAUAUAUCAUCGUUCUAUGCACUUGAUUUAUCUUGAAUAUAGGGAAUCGAGUUUUCUGAAAAUAUGUUCAGUGAAGGGAAGCAUUUCCAAACCCAUUCCAUUUUUAUUGCAGUAUGUCUUCUCUAUCUCUUAGGAUUAUCGGCAUGUCUUCAGCUUUCAUGAGUUUCUCAAGUUUGAACUUUGUACUUGCCAAAUUUAAAUGUGUACUUCACCCUACCUUUCCCUUGCACUCUUGUUUGUCUUCAUUCUUGUCCUCGGUAGUUCUAUUAGCUGCUCACUUUCUUGAUGUGUGUGCUGUUUUGUGUUUUUCUGACUUUUGUAAAUGAACAGCUAUUAAGUGUAUAAAUUAUGUUCCCUUUCUUACAAUGACAGUGAGAGAACAUAUCAACUUCGUUGGAAAUUGGUUUCCAAAUUAACAUGAAAGAUCAGAAAUUGGUUAAGUAAAAAUUGAAAUCGGAGAGUGUGACUAACGUGUUAACUUCGGCUGAAUAUUCGGACUUGAUCCAACGAUCAAAUUACAAAAGUAAAAAGGUCAACUUGUUUUACUCAUCGAAUAGAUGAUCGUAGUAUAUUUGGACAUUAAAAACCAAUUCCGGGUGAAUGAGAAAUUGCAAUCCAAAAAUUGGAGGAAAAUAUGGUGGAAAAGGGCAAAAAUACACCAUCGCUCGAUGUUCGCUUGCUCGAGCGAAAUUUGAGCAAAGUAUGUUCUGCUCGAAUUUUUAAAGCGCUGCUCGAGCGAAAAGCUAGUGAAGAUGGAAUGUUGCAACGAUUCGAAAGAUUGCACGAUUUGGCCCAUACCACUUCAUCCACACCCCUUCAUCCUCUAUAAAUAGAAUCCCUUGGACGUCCCUAAGAGAACACCAACUCAUUUUUUGCAUUGAGCAUUCUUCUUUUCUUACAAAAUCUCUCUUCCUUUUUCUUGCAUAAAAUCCCUUUGUAAAGGGGAAAAUUUCGUCGGUUCUUGUGGUGUGAAGUGCUACUACCACAAGAUUAAACAUUCGUUGUAUCUUGAGAGACAAGUGUCAUCAACCGUAAGCACCAUAGCAGGGCAAUAUUGUCUUAAGGAGAAAGUGUCAUCACUUGUCUCGGAUUUCAUUUCUUUUUCUUCUCCUUUUCUUGUUUCAUUUUGAUACCUUGAUUUUGUGGUUUUGUACUACACUUUCAAGUUCACAUAUCGAUAGUUUGAUCAUGCUCCUGCGGGUUAAACAUUAAUUUGUUUUGAUACAAACAUCAACAUCCAUCAUACCGCUCACAUAAACCCCGGAACCAACAAUCUUAAAACAGUAUUUGUCGGUGGUUGUUUUGGUUUUAUUUUGGUUUAACCCACACUUUGUUCUUCAUUUUGGAAUAGUCUUUGUGCACUGUUCCAUUCCCCUACUUUGCGUUGUGAUAAUCUUCUAUUUUUGUAACAGAAAUGAGUACUGUAGAGGCUUCAAGUCAAAAUGGUACAAACAUGGUUACGCCUAUGGCUAUAAACACUUCAAUCCUGCAUGGUGAAAAAUCGAAAAAAUUUAGUGGUGUGGAUUUUAAGAGAUGGCAACAAAAGAUGUUAUUCUAUCUCACUACCUUCAAUUUGGCAAAGUUCUUAAAAGAGACUGCACCAUCCGUACAAGAGGGAGAAAAUAAUGGUGAGUCGAUUAUUGCGUUGGAAACAUGAAAGCACUCGGACUUUCUAUGCAAAAACUACAUUUUGAAUGGGUUGGAGAAUACACUAUAUGAGGUGUAUAGUUCUAAAAACUCGGCCAAGGAAUUGUGGGAUUCUUUGGAAAAUAAAUACAAGACCAAGAAUGCUGGAACCAAGAAGUUCAUUGUGGGCAAGUUUUUGGACUACAAAAUGGUAGAUACCAAAACUGUGAUAAGCCAAGUGCAAAAAAUUCAAGUCCUCUUGCACGACAUACAUGCCGAAAAGAUGGAACUAAGUGAGUCCUUUCAAGUGGCUGCCAUCAUCGAGAAACUCCCUCCUAUGUGGAGAGAUUUCAAGAACUAUCUCAAGCACAAACGUAAGGAGAUGAAUUUGGAAGAAUUGAUCAUUCGCUUGAGAAUUGAAUAAGACAAUAGGAAAAAUGAAAGGAAACCUAUUGACGAACUUGGAGCAAACUUUGUUGAAACAGAACAAAGGCCUUUGAACAAGAAACGAAAGAUCUCAAAUGAUGCACCGCGUAGAGAUAACUCCAAAAAGGCGAAAAAGUUCAAAGGGAAAUACUAUAAUUGUGGAAAGGCCAGACAUUGUUCAAAUGAAUGUCGAAAGCCUAGGAAACCUACUCAAGUUAACAUGAUUGAGAAGGACAACCUUUCCGAAGGAAUGCAGGAGAUGAGUCUAUCUGCAGUUGUGUCCGAAUACAUGGUUGGAAUCAUAAGGGAAUGGUGGGUAGAUAUCAGUGCAACCCGUCAUGUGUGUGCUGAUAGGGCAAUGUUUUUCAACUAUCAAGAACUGAAAGGAAAACAACUAUUCGUGGGGAAUGUUGCAAGUUCCAAGAUUGAAGGACAAGGCAAAGUCACUUUAAAGAUGACAUCUAGAAAAGAGCUAGUCCUCAACAACGUUCUACAUGUGCUGGAUAUUCGAAAGAAUCUUGUGCCCAGAUCUCUUCAUAGUAAAAAUGGUUUUAAACUUGUAUUUGUAUCCGAUAAAUUUAUAUUGUCUAAGAAUGAGAUAUAUGUAGGAAAAGGAUACAUGUGUGACGGAAUGUUCAAAAUGAACAUUCUAACUGUUGUACCGAAACAAGGCAUUAUAAAUAAAGUAACAAAUUCUGUUUACUUGCUUGAGUCUUGUUUAUGGCAUAAUCGAAUAGGACAUGCGAAUUAUAAUUUGUUGCGCAAACUUAUGAAUCAAAGUUUAAUUCCAGCACUUGAAAUUGAUCCUAAUCACAAAUGCGAAAUAUGUGUUUAAGCAAAAUUGGCUAAAACACUGUUCCAUUCAAUUCAAAGGAACACGAUACCUCUAGAAUUAAUCCAUAGUGAUAUAUGUAAUUUGAAAUUCGUUUAAACUAGAGGCAGUAAGAAAUAUUUUGUAUUUUUUAUCGAUGAUUGUACAAAGUAUUGUUAUAUCUUUCUUUUAAGAAGCAAAGACAAAGCCGUAAAUGCAUUUAAACAAUAUAAGGCUGAAGUUGAAAUACAACUUGACAAACGAAUUAAAAAUAUUCGUAGUGAUCGAGAAGGUGAAUAUGGGGCAUCAUUUGAAGAAUUUUGUUCUGAACAUGGAAUCAUUCAUCAAACAAUGGCUCCAUACUCUCCUCAAUCUAAUGGAAUUGCUGAACGCAAAAAUCGAACUCUUAAAGAGAUAAUGAAUGCAAUGUUAAUAAGUUCGAAUUUACCUCAAAACUUGUGGGGGAGGCUAUCUUAAUGGCAAAUAGUCUUCUCAAUCGGAUACCGCUUAAGAAAAUGGAAGAAACACCAUAUAAGUUAUGGAAAUGUCAUUCUCCUUCCUACCAACACUUAAAAGUGUGUUGGGAGGGGUUUGGCAAAGGUUGAAGUAUCCAG